rnacentral:lncRNA from 1 species
UUGAGGUUCCAUUGAGUGUAAAUUCAAUCCUGUGGAUCUGGAAAAGAUUAUGGGAUAUAAACAGAUGGAACCAAGGGACAGAAGCCUGGGAAAAGUGAUCAGGCCUGGAGAUGCACAAGCAAGAUUUUGGAGUUUACACCAAAGGUGAGAAUUAAUGAUUAAAUUAUGAACUUGGAGAGAAAAAUGAGAUUCUGAAGUUUGGGAUGGAGGAAAAUGGUAGAAAAGGAUCAGAGAGAGAGCCUGGGAAGAUGACAGUUUUUUUGAAGGCAGAAGUGGCAUCUCUUCUGAAAGAAAAGAUAGGAAUGAAU